CCUACGGGAGGCAGCAGUAGGGAAUCUUUCACAAUGGGCGAAAGCCUGAUGGAGCAACGCCGCGUGCAGGAUGAAGGCCUUCGGGUUGUAAACUGCUUUUAUAAGCGAGAAAUAUGAUGGUAACUUAUGAAUAAGGAUCGGCGAACUACGUGCCAGCAGCCGCGGCCCUACGUAGGAUCCGAGCAUUAUCCGGAGGGUCUGGGUGUAAAGAGUUGCGUAGGUGGCAUAAAUAGUAGCUAGGGAAAUCUGGUGGCUCAACCAUUCAGACUAUUAGCUAAACUGUUAAGCUCGAGACCGUUAGAGGUAAGUGGAAUGUCUAGUGUAGGAGUGAAAUGCAUAGAUAUUAGAAAGAACACCGAUAGCGUAGGCAGGUUACUGGGACGGUACUGACACUAAGGCACGAAAGCGUAGGGAGCGAACAGGAUUAGAUACCCGGGUAGUC
rnacentral:rRNA from 1 species